GUCACUUUGGCGGAGUGGUUAACGCGCUGCCCUGCUAAGUUCCAGCACAGGCAGUUCCUUCGGGAGCGUAGGUUCGAAUCCUACAGGUGACG
rnacentral:tRNA from 1 species